rnacentral:lncRNA from 1 species
GCCCAGGUAGGUUUCUUCACCUUCUUCCGCCAAAAGCGAAACCAAUGGUUCGCUUCCCCUUCCAUACAGAUGCACACCAGCUUCAUCUGCUCUUUUUCAGUCACGCUCUGUAUUUCGAAGAAUUUCUUCUUGCGAUCCAUCCCGUCGGAUCGGUUCCUUCGAAAGUGGGCAAUUCUACUCUCUUCAUCCAACUCUUUUGAACGUCAUCACGUUCUUCCUCCGAUUCAUCCUCCUCAGUCUCCC